UCCUUGUUCCUUUUUUUUUUUUUUUUUUUUUCCUUUCAGGAAAAGAGUUGAAGCUAUGAGACCUUGGAUCGUGGGCAGGUCCUCUCUCAUCUGGGCUAGAUUUUCACAUAAAACAGUCUCCUGUCAUAUUUUCAAAGAGAAAAUCCAGUGGCCUAUGAUUAAGCCUGUACUUCUGGUCGAUCAUCCUAAAGGACACAGGAAGACCCAGAUUCCCGCCCACAGAUGGUGGGACUUAGUUCCCUGAACACUCCAGGUGCUGGCUGGACUCACUGGGGCUGGAUUCGAGGCCCACCUGACUGUGCUUCUGUUAUUUUAUCUGAACAGUGGGAUAACCUCCUGAGGGGUGCAGUCACAGAGGUAUUUAUACUGUAUCGGGCCCUGGAGGCACAGAUGAAAAUAGUGAAGUCCAUGCCUUCAAGGAAUGCCUGGUCUGCUGGUGGAAGGCAGGCGUGUGUGCUGGUGCUACAUGGGCCCUGGAGGUCUAGAGGAGACACCCACCUUGCCCAGCCCAGAGGACUCUGGGAGUCAUUCCCAGAGGCGAGAGUGCUGGCCAGGUGAGGAAGUGGGGUGGGGGGUAGUAGGGAGGAAAGAUAGGAAUGUGUGUUUUCUUCUUUUCUUAGUUGAUGAGAGUGUCUGCAGAUUACGGAUUUAGCAAGAGUGCUCUGCAGCUGUGUGCUUGACGCACAUACAGGCCAGUGAUUCAGCCCAACACAUCUCAAAAUUCUGUGAGUCAGCAGGCUCCUCCUUGUGUAGGCCCAGGAGAGGGGAUUGGAGACUGCCUCUGCGGAGGUGCAGGCGCUGAGGUGUGGAUAAUGGCUGAGCUGUCUUCUCACUCAGUUGAGGUUAAACCUGGAGGUUAAACACAGGAAAAUGGGCAGGGUUGGAAUAAGUGGGUUUGGGGGCCUGGUAGGAUCAGUGUUUGGGACAGGUUGGGGCAGAACAUCAAGGCCCCUUUUUGUCCAUUCUCUUCACAAAGGCCCUGGUUUAGUGCCUUUGCGUGAGAGCUGAGCCUGGCAGACCUUAAGAGACCCUUCCCUAAGAUGGGUGUGGUGGUGCCCACCUGUAAUUCCAG
rnacentral:lncRNA from 1 species